AUAUGAUUCAAAUUUCAGAAGGCUUUCCUACUUCUGAACACCAAGAAACCAAAACAGUCAACUGGAUGAAUCCACUUACAAGCCAAGAAAAGUAACAAGGCAUUUUCAUAUCACAAAAGUAGGAACUUCACAAACGCUGCUUUGAAUAACUGGAGACUGGCAGAUCCAAUGGAAAAACAAAUGCCAAAUGUUCAAGAAAUAGCAGACUAGUACAAGGUGCUGCCAUGCAGAAGGACUGUGGGCAUGGGAGAGAUUGAAAUUGGUG